UGGUGUGAAUUGCAGAAUCCCGUGAACCAUCGAGUCUUUGAACGCAAGUUGCGCCCGAAGCCUUUGGGUUGAAGGCACGUCUGCCUGGGCGUCACGC
rnacentral:rRNA from 1 species